rnacentral:rRNA from 1 species
GGAGCUUGCUCCAGGCGUCGAGCGGCGGACGGGUGAGUAAUGCAUAGGAAUCUGCCCGGUAGUGGGGGAUAACCUGGGGAAACCCAGGCUAAUACCGCAUACGUCCUACGGGAGAAAGCAGGGGAUCCGUGUUCUUCGGAAUGGGGACCUUGCGCUAUCGGAUGAGCCUAUGUCGGAUUAGCUGGUUGGUGAGGUAAUGGCUCACCAAGGCGACGAUCCGUAGCUGGUCUGAGAGGAUGAUCAGCCACAUCGGGACUGAGACACGGCCCGAACUCCUACGGGAGGCAGCAGUGGGGAAUAUUGGACAAUGGGCGCAAGCCUGAUCCAGCCAUGCCGCGUGUGUGAAGAAGGCUUUCGGGUUGUAAAGCACUUUCAGUGAGGAAGAAGGCCUUGGGGCCAAUACCCCCGAGGAAGGACAUCACUCACAGAAGAAGCACCGGCUAACUCCGUGCCAGCAGCCGCGGUAAUACGGAGGGUGCGAGCGUUAAUCGGAAUUACUGGGCGUAAAGCGCGCGUAGGUGGCGUGAUAAGCCGGUUGUGAAAGCCCCGGGCUCAACCUGGGAACGGCAUCCGGAACUGUCAGGCUAGAGUGCAGGAGAGGAAGGUAGAAUUCCCGGUGUAGCGGUGAAAUGCGUAGAGAUCGGGAGGAAUACCAGUGGCGAAGGCGGCCUUCUGGACUGACACUGACACUGAGGUGCGAAAGCGUGGGUAGCAAACAGGAUUAGAUACCCUGGUAGUCCACGCCGUAAAC